rnacentral:lncRNA from 1 species
AAAAAGCCACCCAUUAGAAAAAAAGAAAAUUGAAGGUAAAAAAAAUUAAAAAUUGAAAAAAAAAAGAAUUAGAAUUGUUGAUAAGGUUGGAGGUGGGGAAAAAUGGAUCUGUGGACCGUGCAUGUAAAGAACGCGAGCUUAGGCCCUCCUGUUUGGAUGAGGAUUUGUAAACCCGGUUCCAGUUUUAUGGGUAAAGUUGGAGUUUUUGAGAUCAAUGUCUUGAAACGCAGACUCGUUUCAUCUCAUACUCAGAAUCAUAAGUUGCUUGUUACUUCUAUGGCCAAGAAGAACCACGACAGCAACCCAUCUUCGCCUGGUAAUGAAUAUAUAUGUAUAUAUGUAUAUGUAUGUAUGUGUGUGUGUGUGUGUAUAUAUAUAUAGAGAGAGAGAGAGACACACACACACACAGUGUAUAUAUAUAUAGAGAGAGAGAGAGCCCAGAUUACAAAAUAAUCCAAUAUACAUACAUACAUACAUACAUACAUGUAUGUAUGUAUGUAUGUAUGUAUAUUGGAUUAUUUUGUAAUCUGGGUUUGUUUUAGAUUCUGUGAUGGAGGUUGAAUUUUGGGGUUUUAGGGUUAUUGUGGCUUUAGGUGUUGCUGUUUGGUUUCUGGAAAAAUUGUAGUUAUAUUUUGAAAAAUGUCACUAGGAUCAGUGUUAGAAAGUGAAAUUACGUGUGUAUAGCAAAUGUAUGUUUGAUGAUACAGUGAAAAAAUUAAAAUCAUAACUUAUGGUUUCCUUUUAAGCUCACUAAAGGAAUUUAGGGUAUGUUGGGAUUGAGGUGAUGUGAAAUAAAAUUGGCAAGUAUAAGUGAGCGAGUGCUGGUAGACCUUAGCUGCCAAGUGUGUGUUCAAUGAAGGGUUUUCAUAAUGCAGAAACUGAGUAGUUACAACUACUCACAAUGGGUUAUGACUUGCAUUGCUCAAUCCUCUUUACGUUAAACCAUAUGAGGAAUACAAGAUUAUUUUGGUAGUGUUAUAUAUCAUCUAUACUGGUUUUUAAAGCCAUUAGUAGGUAGUUACUAUUUUGUUCCGUGCUUCACUAGCCUUUGCUGCUUGUACUUCCAUGGACUCAAUAUUAUGUUGAUUAUGGAACCUGCAAAGACAUGUGUGUAGCUACACGGAUAUUGUAUUUCAAUUUAACGUAUGGCUCUGGAGAGAUUGAUUCUUAUAUGCUUUUAAUUUUUUAUCUCCUUGUUCUUCCCUUUUGUUUUUGGAUGUUUUUGCUUAUUUUCCUAUUAUUAUUGUUGUUCUGACAGAAUGAACAAUCAAAGCUAAGCCUUUAUUUUUGCACAAAGCAGCAUUGGUGUUUGUUGUUCUGUAUGUGUUUGGAUAGUUGUGCAAAACAACAAUAUCUUCUGGUUCAAUUGCUCCUUCAGCUAGAGAUGUGACUUGGGUCUUGAACCAACUCAGUACUCUUUUAUUGCUCAUGCAGUUGUCACUGUAUAUAAUAACAGGCUUGAUAUUUUUGGGGGGAGAAACUUAAUUUAGGUGAUGAUAGUUCAAUUUGUUGUGUGUUUGAUGAGAUUCAUUGAAAGAGCUAAAUUCUUUAUCUGUCAAUAGUAGGUCCAUCCUUAGCUCUGUGCUUGUACUAUGAUUUUAUAUUUUUGGACUUCUUCCUAAAUUCAUUCAUCAAGCCUUAACUAGAGUUACAAUCGACAUUAUUUUGUUGCUUAGUAGUUUUCAUUUAUGUCAAACAAUAAGAUUCUCUUGGCAAAAGCUAAACAUUGGCAAAACAUGAUGGAAGUACUUAAGAGUAUGGAAAUCCUGUUCUUUUAACUCUGAAUCUUCAAAUUCUAGUGAAGACAAGGACACUUCUUAACGAAAAAAGAGAGCCCUGUACAAGUAUUAUUGCCAUUUAGUCGGAUUAUAUAAAAUGCAUUUCAUGGAGCUGUGUUUUCAUAAAUCAUUUUCUAGUACAUGCUGCACAAAUAAUCUAUCAGAUCAACUGCUAACUCUGUCCAAUCUUUGCUUUUUUGUUUUUAGGUGUAUUUUUUAGGUUAUGGGCAGAGAAAAACUGAAAAAGAAAAGAAGGGUAUGGAACAGGGGUUAUAGAAAUCCAAACCCGUAGAAUAGAGAAAUUGAAAUGGCUUUGUGAAUCUUACAUUACCCAGAGAACUAAAGAUUCCUUCAUCCUCUAACGUUAAAACUUAUUUCAUUUCUGUCCAAAAAUGACUCUUAGGAUAACAAACACAAACCAUCUUCAUGAAAUUUGAAGUCUCCUAUCUUCCUAUAAAUACAAUGCUGCAAACGAGAUUAGAAUAACCCAUUUCACAUUAGAAACCAAGACAAAGUUAUAACACAAAUUCAAAUUGACAGGUCAGUAAAACAGAGUCGAUGUUAUAACUUUAUAAUUGCCUACAAUACAUUAUGCAGGAGUCAAACACAUAUUUUGUCUCAUUCAAAUAGUAUGAUUUGUGUUAGUUCCCAUGAACAAUGUUGCUGGAUCUUAGCCUUCUAGUUGGAAAAGGUGUCUGAAAAAAUGAGGAAGUUUGUGAUCGUCAAUUGGCCUAGUAAAGGAAGAUUUGUUAGAUAAGCACCCUGGUUUUUCAAGAUUCCAUUUCCUUAUUUAAGCUUGAUAGAUUGUAUGGAACUACUUUGAUAAAAGGCAGAAAGUGUGCCCAUUCUUUAGCUUCUCUAUUAUUUAGAUUUCUUUUAUGUCCUAGAUUCAAUCCCAUAGAGAAAAUAGUAAACCAUACUCAAAGCAGAAUCAUUAUAGGAACCAGGCAGCUUGUAGAUAUGCAGCAACAGAACUCUGAGGGAAAUUCCCUAUUUAUGUAUCUGCCCAAAUCUUACUUUCUUCAUUGCCAUUACCCAAGCUCAUAUUAGAGUAAAUAAUACUAUUCGUCGAGGAGAUAUAAUUCCAUGGACAGUGGCUUGAGUCCCGAAAGAUUAUUGAACCAUCUAUGAAUACCUUUUACUUUAGCAAACAGCUUUCAUUUAAACUCCUCUGUAUGUAUCUUUACAUAUUUACUUAAAAAGAGAAAAUUCAUGAUAUUCUUCUUACUACUUCUCAUAAUAUCUUAUGAUAAUAAAAACUCUUUAUCUAAAUCUUUUAUCAGGUAGUAACUGGUCUCUAGCAAGAAAUUUUUAUAUUUUGACUAGUUUUGGAAAACUUGUGUGAACAGAAAUUAUCUUUGGGAUCUUGAACACUGACUGAAGAUUAGACCAAUGAUAAUUACCUACUGGGUCUUAACUUCCACGUGAUUCUUGUUCCGAUGGAGCUUGUAGUUGGAUAUUGACCGGUCUAAUGGGUGCUUAAACUUUUAACCUACUUAAAUUGUAGUUUAACACAAUUAACAAUUAUGAUUAUGAAUUCAGGAAAUGGUGAUCGAUCUAGUCCAGAAGGAGAUAAUUUGAAACGAAACAAUUCUUCUGACAACAACAAAUCCAAUGACACUGCAUCCCAGAAGUCCCCUCAUAUAAACUUGGACUGGAGAGAGUUCAGAGCUAAUCUGUUUGCCCGGGAACAGGUGAAGUAUUUCGUCUUUAGUGAGUUGGUCGUUUGUUACUCUAUUCCACAAUGGACAGUAUUGAAGUUUUAGGAAGUGCAACAGAUUUGGGAAGCUCACCUUUUUCCUUUUUAAUGUUUUAGUCAGCUUAGUUUACAACUUCUGAUAAUAAACCUUAGUUGGAGUUACAUUGUGUCUUUUGUAUUUGCUCUAGUAGUGUAGCCCUGCCUGUUAUAUUGGUCAAAUUACACUUUUAAUCGAAGUAAAUAGACUUAUUUGGAAAAUUCUUGAAGGAGAAGUUGGGAUACUUCUAUCCUUCUUUUGGAAAAGGAAGUACAAAUAUAAUGAAAAGGGUUUAAUUUUAAAGCCAUUCAAUAUUUUUCUUUUUCACCUACACUAUAUCUAAGAUCAAAGCAAUGCCCCCCACCACCAAACCUUUUUGUAGAAGUAGCUGUUUCAUUGACCAUUAAACCACUACUUCGCCCGAGCCCAAUUUGAUCUGGAUCAUAGCCUCAUUUUUAUUCCUUUCUGCUAUGAUACAGUAAUUACUUCAUGACUUGAUGUGGAGUGUCUUUUUCACUGACAUAAUGAAUGACGUUCAGAGUGAAAUUUACACUUUAAUUAUUUUAUCAGGCAGAGAAGUCAGAAUCUGAUACCCAAAACCAAGGUGGGUCAACUCAUGAGUCCAAACCUCUAGGCCUAAAAUGGGCCCACCCUAUUCCAGUUCCUGAGACGGGCUGUGUCCUUGUUGCCACAGCAAAGCUUGAUGGGAUUCGUACCUUUGAGAGAACUGUUGUUCUGCUCCUCAGAUCUGGUACCAGACAUCCACAGGAAGGGCCAUUUGGAGUUGUCAUUAACCGUCC